UUAUGUGAAUGUCCAGAGUCUGUAGAGCAUGUUAUAAUUCAUUGUCCUAAAUAUCAGGAAGAAAGACAAAGAUUAAGAUCACAAUUAAAAAGAAAACAGUUAAGAUUAAACUUAGAAGAAAUCCUACAAAGAAGCUCAGGUGAAAUAUGUUUUAAAUAUGUAUUUAGUUUCCUAAGGAAUACAGGACUAAUUAAAAGAAUUUAGGUGUUUUUUUUAUUGUUUACUUAAAAAAAAAAAUAUUUUUAGAAAGGUUAGAAUCCAGUAGCACACCCCAGUCCAGCAGGUGGCGGUAAUGCACUAUUAAAGUUAGUUGCCAACCGCCAAAAAAUUGAAAGAAGAACAAGAAGAGUGUCUAAUCGCCGUUUAGUUUUGGGGACGUUUUUCGAGAGGCAGUUUAAAGAGCUCGCUGCUCUAAAACCUUCACUAUUUGGAGAAAAAUCCUGGAAUGUUUUCCUCUAAAAACCUUAAUUUCUUUGCGACUGAAAACAGAAAGGCAUAAACAUCUUGGAUGAGAUGGGGAGUCAGCGAUAGGUGGGCUUGACGUACUCGGGUGGGAAAAAGCCCACACGGCCGCGACAACAACCUUUCCAGCGCUGAGAAUCAGAGCAGUCCAGCAGUUCUAUGACAUCACCCCGCAGGAAGUGCAGCUGGGAGUCGUGCUCUGGACUGAAGUCAAACAGGGCUUGUGCUUCAUGGGGCCUCUGAAGGGAAACAAUAACAGACAAAGACCACAAUUUCUCAAGGAAUGCAUGCAGAGCUGUGUCCCACAUUAGCCCUGGACCUGAAGACCAGCUGCCAAUUCCACUCUUCAUAGUGUGUUGUGCAGUCAUUCAAUCUCACAAUAUCCCAAGCCUGUUUUUCCACACCUGAGGCCAGCCCUCAGCUGAUUAUCCCAGCAAACUCGUUCCCAGACAGGCUUGCGCUCUGCCAUCCAAACCCAACCCAACCAUCAAGAAUCGGACGGUAAUGAGCCGGACAGAAUAAUAAUGUGCUCCCAGCAACAGCGCACUUGAUGAAUUUUAAAUGAAAUCUCUGCUCUGACAUAAUAGCUUUCUGAUGGCCUCAUUUUUCAGACAACUUCUUCGUACAUUUUCUUAAGCAGCAGGGGAUAUUGGCAUCCUUGCAAAGUACGUCAGCUGGAUUUCGAUGGACCCUGUACAAUUUUUCCUCAUUAUUCAAUUUCUAGUUAUGCUUUUAUGAGGCAAUGCAGCAAACGACAAAUGACAGUGACCCCAACAACCGUGCAGUUGGUAGACUAGGCUAGGAAUUCUGGGAUGUG